UUUCUCUCCCCAGUCCACAUCAAAGCUACAGGAACAAUAUUCCAAGCCCUGCAUUUUCUCCUGCUGCUUCUACAUUUCUUUCACAGUACUAGACAUCACCAAAGAAAUACUAAACCAGCUAAACAUAUCCCACCAUUCCCGUGGUCAGGUUGCAAUGUAAUAGAAGAUGAUCGACCUCUAAACCCGUCUCGUUGCAUAAGUAACACCAGCUAAUGCAUAUGACCUUUUUUUUUUUUUUUUGAAACUUUCCACUAUCAAAAUCACCCCUCAAGCAGCUAACCAAGAGAAAAAAUGUUUCUUCCUCUGCACCAUAGGAAUCCAAAUUGACGUUACGGAGAAAGCCUCCACCUCCCUCACCAAGAACUUCUCAUAGAAGGACUUGACAGAAAAAACUCAAUUACUCCCCAAUUUUCAUUUCAAAGUAUCGAAUCGAUCGACUGGAUCGUGAUGCUGAUAAAUUAGAGAUAGCAACCUUUGAAACUUAUUAACCUCCCAGUCUUGAAAAUUCCUCCUAAACCUCAAAUCUCACAACAUUUCUUCCCCUUGUAAACCUCUAGUAUAAUGGACUACCGCCUCCCUCUGACAAGAAAUCCUAUAGAAACUCGGAAACUCAUCUUUUAGUACCAAUCUCCACAGCAUUUGGUUUUCCAACAUAGACUAUUGAUGGGUAUUUAUACAAAUUGAGCAUGAUACUUGUUAGGAUAGAGAAUUUCGGAUAGUGUAAAAUUAAACAAAGUAAUCGUUUGAAAACGAUAACAAAGACGAUAAUAACGAUAAGUUGAGAAAAUAA
rnacentral:lncRNA from 1 species